rnacentral:sRNA from 1 species
GAUUUUCUGCUCCGGUUGGUGAGCGCGCCUGCGCGUUGACGGCGAUUUUGCGUUCUGAGGCUGCGCGCGCGGGGCCGCGCCCACGUGCACUGGACCGAGUCGCGCAGCGCGGGCUCGAGCACGGCUUACACGCAGAGCUACAGUGAACGCGUGGAGGUCGUGAGCCACCGCGCCACGCUCCUGGCGCCAGAUACCGGGGAGACCACGACGCUGCCUCCUGGGCGCCAUGAGUUCCUGUUCAGCUUCCAGCUGCCCCCGACCCUGGUGACAUCCUUCGAGGGCAAACACGGUAGUGUCCGCUACUGUAUCAAGGCCACCCUGCACCGGCCCUGGGUCCCAGCACGCCGGGCAAGGAAGGUGUUCACUGUCAUCGAGCCUGUGGACAUCAACACGCCAGCCCUGCUGGCACCUCAAGCGGGGGCUCGGGAAAAGGUUGCCCGAUCCUGGUACUGUAACCGUGGCCUAGUCUCUCUUUCGGCCAAGAUCGACCGCAAGGGCUACACCCCAGGAGAGGUCAUCCCUGUCUUUGCCGAGAUCGACAACGGCUCCACACGUCCUGUGCUGCCUCGGGCAGCC